GGGGCGUUAAAGAGAAUGUGGGAGGGGCGCGCGGCGAUCAGUCUGUGCGACUCCCGUCUGGAUAACACUGCGGAGACGUAGCUGCGGGUCGUCUCAUCAUCUAAAUUUGACUGCCGCUCUUAGGCGUAACACUGCGGACUACGGUGGACUGCUAUAAACCGCUGUAGAUUGUGGUGGACUGCUGUAUACUGGGCUGUCGGUGCAUCAUCAGCGCCCUGGUUCUGUUGCUAGGGUAUCUGACAGGUUGCCCAAAGCCAAUGUGCACCUGCUGCAGUGCCUCCUGCUGGUUCUGCGACACAUCAGCCGAAGCGCCGACGCCAACAAGAUGGACGCCAGGAACCUGGCUGUCUGCAUCUCGCCCAACCUGCUCCCCGUUGAGCCCCUGUCCCUGGAAAAGGUGGAGAAGGUCACGGCCCUGCCGCAGUUCCUCAUCGACGGCCCGCAG